UACGAAGGGUGCAAGCGUUAAUCGGAAUUACUGGGCGUAAAGCGUGCGCAGGCGGCUUUGCAAGACAGAUGUGAAAUCCCCGGGCUCAACCUGGGAACUGCAUUUGUGACUGCAUGGCUAGAGUACGGUAGAGGGGGAUGGAAUUCCGCGUGUAGCAGUGAAAUGCGUAGAUAUGCGGAGGAACACCGAUGGCGAAGGCAAUCCCCUGGACCUGUACUGACGCUCAUGCACGAAAGCGUGGGGAGCAAACAGG
rnacentral:rRNA from 1 species